AAAACCUCUAAAGUUUUCCUCAUAAAAUCCCAACUAACUUGGUCAAAGACUUUCUCUCCAUCGAGCGCCAUAGAAAAGAAGGGCGUUUUGUGGCAUGAACUUUCUCGUAUAUAUUUAUAAUCUUCCUGAUGUGAUUGGAGGGCGUUCCUCCACUUGAUCUUCUGAGAUCAAAGUUGGGAUAAUACUUUUUAUUCUCUUGGAUAAAAUUGAAGCAUAGAUUUUAUAAUCGGUAUUCAGCAGUGGAAUUGGUUAUUUCUUCUGGA